UGGCGCACGGGUGAGUAACACGUGAAUAAUCUACCUCCGAGUGGGGAAUAACUGAGAGAAAUCUUAGCUAAUACCGCAUAACACUUACGAGUCAAAGCAGCAAUGCGCUUGGAGAGGAGUUCGCGGCCGAUUAGUUAGUUGGCGGGGUAAUGGCCCACCAAGACGAUGAUCGGUAUCCGGCCUGAGAGGGCGCACGGACACACUGGAACUGAAACACGGUCCAG
rnacentral:rRNA from 1 species